rnacentral:rRNA from 1 species
GGAAUCUUAGACAAUGGGCGCAAGCCUGAUCUAGCCAUGCCGCGUGAGUGAUGAAGGCCUUAGGGUCGUAAAGCUCUUUCGCCAGAGAUGAUAAUGACUGUAUCUGGUAAAGAAACCCCGGCUAACUCCGUGCCAGCAGCCGCGGUAAUACGGAGGGGGUUAGCGUUGUUCGGAAUUACUGGGCGUAAAGCGAGUGUAGGCGGUUUGCCGUGUCUGCUGUGAAAUCUCCCGGCUCAACUGGGAGGGUGCGGCGGAAACUGGCAGGCUAGAGUGCGGAAGAGGAAAGUGGAAUUCCUGGUGUAGCGGUGAAAUGCGUAGAUAUCAGGGGGAACACCUGUGGUGAAGACGGCUUUCUGGACCGCCACUGACGCUGAGACUCGAAAGCGUGGGGAGCA